CACCGGCGGCUCGAGUGGUGGCCACUUUUAUUGGGUCUAAAGCGUCCGUAGCCGGCUUGGCAAGUCCCCUGGGAAAUCUGGCGGCUUAACCGUCAGGCGUCCAGAGGAUACUGCAGGCUUGGGACCGGGAGAGGUGAGAGGUACCUCAGGGGUAGGGGUGAAAUCUUGUGAUCCCUGAGGGACCACCAGUGGCGAAGGCGUCUCACUAGAACGGGUCCGACGGUCAGGGACGAAAGCUGGGGGCACGAACCGG
rnacentral:rRNA from 1 species